rnacentral:tRNA from 1 species
AACUCUUUAGCUCAGUUGGUUAGAGCGUGUGACUGUUAACCACAAGAUCGGAUGUUCGACCCUUUUAGUUU